CGUUAUUCGGAAUCACUGGGCUUAAAGGGUGCGUAGGCGGCGCAGAAAGUUGGGUGUGAAAUCCCUCGGCUCAACCGAGGAACUGCGCCCAAAACUACUGUGCUCGAGGGAGACAGAGGUGAGCGGAACUUAGGGUGGAGCGGUGAAAUGCGUUGAUAUCCUAAGGAACACCGGUGGCGAAAGCGGCUCACUGGGUCUCUUCUGACGCUGAGGCACGAAAGCUAGGGUAGCGAACGGG
rnacentral:rRNA from 1 species